rnacentral:sRNA from 1 species
GCUGGGCGUGGUGGCGCAUGCCUGUAAUCCCAGCUACUUGGGAGGCUGAGGCAGGAGAAUCGCUUGGACCCAGGAGGCGGAAGUUGCAGUGAGCCGAGAUCGCACCAUUGCACUCCAGCCUGGGUGACAAAGCAAAACUCUGUCUCAA